UUUUCUUUUUUCACAAGUGUUCUUUAUUCAUAUUACAAAGCCAAAUCAUAUGCCAUUAUUUUACAAAACCAAAAGAAACAGGCCGAAAGAAACAGGCCAUAUUAUACAAAGAAAAAAUACAAUAAAACAAAGUGAAAGCCCAAAAGCCCAAACAGAAACCCUUUCACUGAAAAAACGGUGUUGUAAACAGCACAUAGAACACGUGGCAAGAGGGAACCAGAUUUGAUGACACGUGAGAAGUCGAAGAAGAGAGAGUUUCCGAUCACCAGAAUGAUGUGACGCCGGAAAGUUUUAAUUCCGAUUGAAACCACCGGAAAAUUGCUCAACUUUUGCAGCAACAAAACUCAAUCUUCGCCCAAAAAAUUUAAAGCGAAAUCCCAAGUUAGCUUUGAUGAGAAUACUUUCUAAUUGAAGCAAUUCUGUAAUACUUCUGCAUCUUCAAACAAUAACUUUAUAAUCUUCAGAAAAGGAAUUUAUCACCAACCGAGGCUUGCUUUUAUUAACCUAAUUCGAAUCCAAUAAACUAGACGAUGUCUAAUAACCAAAGGCAGAACUUCAGUCAAUCGGACUGUCUUUUCUUCAGAUCUGAAGCCAAAAAAAAACUCAAAGUGCGUGAGAGCCGACCGAUCUCGCUACAGAAACCGAUAACGUCGGAGUUAAACCAGCCAAACUUGUUUUAAAAGCCAAAAGUUGCUGGAAAGGAGCCAGCCAACGAUAGUGAUGAAGCCAUCGAUGCUGGAAGAAAAGCCAGCCAACACCACUGAGAAAGCUGACCGUUGCCGGAAAAGAGAAAAAAACGUAAUAAAAACUUUCUCUCUCUCAGUGACAAU